CUGUUGAUUGCAGCACAUAUUCUGCAAUUGGAACAAUACAGAGAAGAUUAGCAUGGACCCUGCGCAAGGAUGACAUGCACAUUCCUUGAAGCAUUCCAUAUUUUU